CUACGGGUCGCUGCAGUGGGGAAUAUUGGACAAUGGGGGCAACCCUGAUCCAGCAAUGCCACGUGUGUGAAGAAGGCCUUAGGGUUGUAAAGCACUUUCAGCGGGGAGGAAGGCUCGUUAAUUAAUACUUAGCGGGAUUGACGUUACCUGCAGAAGAAGCGCCGGCUAACUCCGUGCCAGCAGCCGCGGUAAUACGGAGGGUGCAAGCGUUAAUCGGAAUUACUGGGCGUAAAGGGCGCGUAGGCGGAUGAUUAAGUUGGAUGUGAAAUCCCAGGGCUUAACCUUGGAACUGCAUCCGAAACUGGUAAUCUAGAGUAUGGUAGAGGAAAGUGGAAUUUCAGGUGUAGCGGUGACAUGCGUAGAUAUCUGAGGGAACACCAGUGGCGAAGGCGACUUUCUGGAUCAAUACUGACGCUGAGGCGCGAAAGCAUGGGUAGCGAACAGGAUUAGAUACCCUCGUAGUC
rnacentral:rRNA from 1 species